rnacentral:rRNA from 1 species
GGGCAAUAAUCCAGGCCAAGAUUUGUGCCCUUAAUCUAUUCGCACCCGGCGAUCGGGCCCGUAAACUCUAAAGGUCCCUGCUUGAAAUGCUGAAGUUGAGCGGGUAACCCCGACUUGAACGAGGUGACGAAAUUGACAAUGCCGGGUGGAUGGCUGGGCCCCACGGCGAGACCCGCUUAAGCGGAUGGAUACUUCAGCGCAUCAAAGUCUUCCCUUGAUCUUCACUGAUUAACAGAGCUCGCAAUUUUCAAAACCGCGAACCGAACCCCCAUAAACGAGCGCGGCGCCAAGGAAGCCGACGACGCUCGAACCGGCAUUCUCCACAAAAGAGCAAAGAGACCGAUGGAGGUGGGAGGACCCCCCGGGAAACCCUUCUCGUUCUCUCUAUAUGAAGUAAAAGUCGUAACAAGGUUUCCGUAGGUGAACCUGCGGAAGGAUCAUUACCGAGAGGGAUAUAUGCGCCUCGCGGCCACGUCCCGGGGGGAUCCGCCCCCCAUCUCUUCAACCCGGUGUCUAUCUGCCUCUGUUGCUUCGGCGAGCGCCCGGGUGCCUCGCGCCCGGGCCCCGGCUUCGGUCGGUGCGCUCUCGCCGGAGGCCAUCUUGAAUCUGUCUGUAGUGAUGUCCGAGUGUACCGAUUAAAACCAAUCAAAACUUUCAACAACGGAUCUCUUGGUUCUGGCAUCGAUGAAGAACGCAGCGAAAUGCGAUAAGUAAUGUGAAUUGCAGAAUUCAGUGAAUCAUCGAAUCUUUGAACGCACAUUGCGCCCCUUGGUAUUCCGGGGGGCAUGCCUGUUCGAGCGUCAUUGCAACCCUCACGCCUUGCUUGGUCUUGGGCGUUCGCUUCCCCGUUCCGGGCGAUGCGUGCCCGUAAAUCAGUGGCGGUCCAGGGAGACUUCAAGCGCAGUAGUAUCUAUCCGCUUCGGAGGUCUCGCCUGUGGCCCAGCCAUUAAACCCGCAAUUUUCAAUGAUGACCUCGGAUCCAGGUAGGGUACCCCCGA